AUGGGCCAUGGAGAUCCUGUGAAGCCGAGAGGCAAAAUGUCAUCAUAUGUAUUUUUUGUGCAAAAUUGUCAGGAGGAGCACAAGAAACGGUAUCCAGAUACUUCUGUCACCUUCUCACAGUUUUCUAAGAAGUGCUUAGAGAGGUGGAAGACCAUGUGUGUUGAAGAGAGGGGAAAAUCUGAAGACACAGCAAAAGCCGGCAAGCCUUGUUAUGAUAGAGAAAUGAAAACCUAUAUCCCUCCUAAAGGGGAAACAAAAUGAAGUUCAAGGAUCCCAAUCCACCCCAGAGGCCUCCUUCUGACUUUUUUGGUUCUAUUCUGAGUAGUGUUCAAAAAUCAAAGGAGAACAUUCUGGCCUAUCCAUUGAUGAUGUUUCAAAGAAACGGGAACAUGUGGAAUAAUUGCUGCAGAUGACAAGCAGCCUUAUGAAAAAAGAGGCUGCAAAUCUGAAGGAAAAAUACAAAAAAGAUAUUGCUGCAUACAGAACUAAAGGAAAGGCUGAUGUAGCAAAAAAGGGAAUUGUCAAGGCUGAAAAAGCAAGAAAAAGAAGGAAAAUUAAGAAGAUGAAGAGGAUGAGUAGCAGGAGGAGGAAGAAGAAGAAGAAGAUCAUGAUGAUGAAU
rnacentral:lncRNA from 10 species